rnacentral:rRNA from 1 species
AUUGAACGCUGGCGGCAGGCCUAACACAUGCAAGUCGAACGAGUGGCGGACGGGUGAGUAAUGUCUGGGAAACUGCCUGAUGGAGGGGGAUAACUACUGGAAACGGUAGCUAAUACCGCAUACCAUCGGAUGUGCCCAGAUGGGAUUAGCUAGUAGGUGGGGUAAAGGCUCACCUAGGCGACGAUCCCUAGCUGGUCUGAGAGGAAGACCAGCCACGCGGGAACAGAGAGACGGGCCAGACUGCGACGGGAGGCGGGAGGGGGGAAGAUUGCACAAUGAGCGCAAGGCUGAUGCAGCCAGGCCGCGUGUAUGAGGAAGGCGUUCGGGUUGUAAAGUACUUUCAGCGGGGAGGCGUUACCCGCAGAAGAAGCACCUGCUAACGCCGUGCCAGCCGCGGUAAUAC